UACGUAGGGUGCGAGCGUUGUCCGGAAUUAUUGGGCGUAAAGAGCUCGUAGGCGGUUUGUCGCGUCUGCUGUGAAAACCCGAGGCUCAACCUCGGGCCUGCAGUGGGUACGGGCAGACUAGAGUGCGGUAGGGGAGAUUGGAAUUCCUGGUGUAGCGGUGGAAUGCGCAGAUAUCAGGAGGAAUACCGGUGGCGAAGGCGGCAUCCUGGACCGAUAUUGACACUGAUGAGCGAAAGCCAGGGGAGCAAACGGG
rnacentral:rRNA from 1 species